UUGAGAGGAUGAUCAGCCACAUCGGGACUGAGACACGGCCCGAACUCCUACGGGAGGCAGCAGUGGGGAAUAUUGGACAAUGGGGGCAACCCUGAUCCAGCCAUGCCGCGUGUGUGAAGAAGGCUUUCGGGUUGUAAAGCACUUUCAGCGAGGAGGAAGGCUCUAAAGCUAAUACCUUUAGGGAUUGACGUUACUCGCAGAAGAAGCACCGGCUAACUCCGUGCCAGCAGCCGCGGUAAUACGGAGGGUGCAAGCGUUAAUCGGAAUUACUGGGCGUA
rnacentral:rRNA from 2 species